rnacentral:rRNA from 1 species
GAUGAACGCUGGCGGCGUGCCUAAUACAUGCAAGUCGAGCGAACGGACGAGAAGCUUGCUUCUCUGAUGUUAGCGGCGGACGGGUGAGUAACACGUGGAUAACCUACCUAUAAGACUGGGAUAACUUCGGGAAACCGUAGCUAAUACCGGAUAAUAUUUUGAACCGCAUGGUUCAAAAGUGAAAGACGGUCUUGCUGUCACUUAUAGAUGGAUCCGCGCUGCAUUAGCUAGUUGGUAAGGUAACGGCUUACCAAGGCAACGAUGCAUAGCCGACCUGAGAGGGUGAUCGGCCACACUGGAACUGAGACACGGUCCAGACUCCUACGGGAGGCAGCAGUAGGGAAUCUUCCGCAAUGGGCGAAAGCCUGACGGAGCACCGCCGCGUGAGUGAUGAAGGUCUUCGGAUCGUAAAACUCUGUUAUUAGGGAAGAACAUAUGUGUAAGUACCUGUGCACAUCUUGACGGUACCUAAUCAGAAAGCCACGGCUAACUACGUG